rnacentral:rRNA from 1 species
ACUCCUACGGGAGGCAGCAGUGGGGAAUAUUGCACAAUGGGCGCAAGCCUGAUGCAGCCAUGCCGCGUGUAUGAAGAAGGCCUUCGGGUUGUAAAGUACUUUCAGCGGGGAGGAAGGCGAUAAGGUUAAUAACCUUGUUGAUUGACGUUACCCGCAGAAGAAGCACCGGCUAACUCCGUGCCAGCAGCCGCGGUAAUACGGAGGGUGCAAGCGUUAAUCGGAAUUACUGGGCGUAAAGCGCACGCAGGCGGUCUGUCAAGUCGGAUGUGAAAUCCCCGGGCUCAACCUGGGAACUGCAUUCGAAACUGGCAGGCUAGAGUCUUGUAGAGGGGGGUAGAAUUCCAGGUGUAGCGGUGAAAUGCGUAGAGAUCUGGAGGAAUACCGGUGGCGAAGGCGGCCCCCUGGACAAAGACUGACGCUCAGGUGCGAAAGCGUGGGGAGCAAACAGGAUUAGAAACCCCAGUAGUCCCA